rnacentral:rRNA from 1 species
CCUACGGGAGGCAGCAGUGGGGAAUAUUGCACAAUGGGGGAAACCCUGAUGCAGCGACGCCGCGUGAGUGAAGAAGUAAUUCGUUAUGUAAAGCUCUAUCAGCAGGGAAGAAAAUGACGGUACUUGAGUAAGAAGCCCCGGCUAACUACGUGCCAGCAGCCGCGGUAAUACGUAGGGGGCAAGCGUUAUCCGGAUUUACUGGGUGUAAAGGGAGCGUAGACGGCAGUGCAAGUCUGGAGUGAAAGGCGGGGGCUCAACCCCCGGACUGCUCUGGAAACUGUACGGAUGGAGUGCAGGAGAGGUAAGUGGAAUUCCUAGUGUAGCGGUGAAAUGCGUAGAUAUUAGGAGGAACACCAGUGGCGAAGGCGGCUUACUGGACUGUAACUGACGUUGAGGCUCGAAAGCGUGGGGAGCAAACAGGAUUAGAUACCCGAGUAGUC